rnacentral:rRNA from 1 species
AUAAUGGGUCAGCGACUUAUAUUCUGUAGCAAGGUUAACCGAAUAGGGGAGCCGAAGGGAAACCGAGUCUUAACUGGGCGUUAAGUUGCAGGGUAUAGACCCGAAACCCGGUGAUCUAGCCAUGGGCAGGUUGAAGGUUGGGUAACACUAACUGGAGGACCGAACCGACUAAUGUUGAAAAAUUAGCGGAUGACUUGUGGCUGGGGGUGAAAGGCCAAUCAAACCGGGAGAUAGCUGGUUCUCCCCGAAAGCUAUUUAGGUAGCGCCUCGUGAAUUCAUCUCCGGGGGUAGAGCACUGUUUCGGCAAGGGGGUCAUCCCGACUUACCAACCCGAUGCAAACUGCGAAUACCGGAGAAUGUUAUCACGGGAGACACACGGCGGGUGCUAACGUCCGUCGUGAAGAGGGAAACAACCCAGACCGCCAGCUAAGGUCCCAAAGUCAUGGUUAAGUGGGAAACGAUGUGGGAAGGCCCAGACAGCCAGGAUGUUGGCUUAGAAGCAGCCAUCAUUUAAAGAAAGCGUAAUAGCUCACUGGUCGAGUCGGCCUGCGCGGAAGAUGUAACGGGGCUAAACCAUGCACCGAAGCUGCGGCAGCGACGCUGAUGCGUUGUUGGGUAGGGGAGCGUUCUGUAAGCCUGCGAAGGUGUGCUGUGAGGCAUGCUGGAGGUAUCAGAAGUGCGAAUGCUGAC